rnacentral:rRNA from 1 species
AUAAUAUUCAAAUCAAGCAAGGCUACCCGCUGAAUUUAAGCAUAUCAAUAAGCGGAGGA